AAAAAACUUUCCUUUUUUUUUUUUAAUUCCAUUACCAACCCCCAAUUUUAAACAAAAAGAACAGAUAGCUUCCCUACUCUCUCCCCCUCCCCCCUCUUUUUUACUUGUUGGAGGCUCGUUCCAAAAAUGAAAGACAAGGGUUUAACCCCCUUUUUUAGACUCAACCACGCCGAACGGAGGGGAGGGCUCCGACAACGCGGCGAUGGGGCCUGAUCUGGUGACAGAUGAGUGUUAAGCGCAUGGAGGGCCGGUGGUUGGUGCCCCGAACAGUGGUGGUGGCUCGCGUGAUGGCCAAGGGCAGAGGGGGCAUGCGGCUAAACUUUGGUGGCUGCAUCUUGGGGAGGGGUUUGCUGCUGAAAAACCUUAAGCAAGUGGGCUGUUAUUUGGGCUAGGGUUUGAUGUAAAUUGGGCUGUUUAAUAUUGUAAAUGGGCUAUUUAUUUUGGACUCUUUUUUAUUGUUUUGGGUUUUGUUAUUUUUUAGUUGUCUGGGCCAAAAAUUGGCCAUUACAUUACUCAAUGAGGAUACGAGGCAAGUCUAUAUUUAAACCCUCUUAAAAGCCUACCCAAUUUGUAUUACCAACAAAGGGUAGAGAAAAGAAAGGUUUGUGUUGAUGAUACACUAGUUGCUGAAACUAUAACUUUGAGAGAAGGGUUAUUAGUAGUUGUUGAACAUGAUUAUAAAGAUAUUAUAAUCAUUAUUAAUAUAUAUUUUUUAACUCAUCUUUUUUUCUAGAAACAAAAA